GCUAAACCAAAAGGUUCUGUUAUGUACAUUUCAUUUGGGAGUCUUGCAAAAAGUAGUAGACAAGAUAUUCUUGAAAUGGCUCAUGGACUUUUACUUAGCAGAGUUAGCUUUAUUUGGGUGGUUCGUCCCGAUAUUACAUGGUCAUUAGAAAGUAAUCUUUUGCCAGAAAGAUUUGAACACGACGUAAAAGACAGAGGAUUAGUAGUGUCAUGGUGUAACCAAAUUGAUGUGAUUUCACAUCGAGCUAUCGGAGGAUUCUUGACACAUUGCGGAUGGAAUUCAGUUUUGGAGAGUAGUUGGUGCAAAGUUCCAAUGUUGUGUUUUCCAAUAUUUACUGAUCAAUUUACAAACAGGAAAUUGGUAGUCAGGGAGUGGAAGGUUGGCUUUGAUCUUAGCAGUGGAAGAAUACU
rnacentral:misc_RNA from 1 species